GAUGAAGAACGUAGCGAAAUGCGAUACGUAAUGUGAAUUGCAGAAUUCAGUGAAUCAUCGAAUCUUUGAACGCACAUUGCGCCCGCCAGCACUCUGGCGGGCAUGCCUGUUCGAGCGUCAUUUCAACCAUCAAGCCCCAGGCUUGCGUUGGAGCCCUGCGGCUGCCGCAGUCUCCUAAAAGCAGUGGCGGGCUCGCUAUCACACCGAGUGCAGUAGAUUACUCUUCGCUCAGGGCGUGCAGCGGGUUCCGGCCGUGAAACCCCCUACUUUUAAAGGUUGACCUCGGAUCAGGUAGGAAUACCCGCUGAACUUAAGCAUAUCAAUAAGCGGAGGA
rnacentral:misc_RNA from 1 species